GUGCCAGCCGCCGCGGUAAUACGGAGGGUGCAAGCGUUGUCCGGAAUCAUUGGGCGUAAAGGGUGCGCAGGCGGGGCAGCAAGUCGGAGGUGAAAGCCCGUGGCUCAACCACGGAAGUGCUUUCGAAACUGUUGCUCUUGAGUCCCGGAGAGGUUGCCGGAAUUCGUGGUGUAGCGGUGAAAUGCGUAGAUAUCACGAGGAACACCAGUGGCGAAAGCGGGCAACUGGACGGGUACUGACGCUGAGGCACGAAAGCGCGGGGAGCAAACAGGAUUAGAAACCCGAGUAGUCC
rnacentral:rRNA from 1 species